rnacentral:rRNA from 1 species
GACGAACGCUGGCGGCGUGCUUAACACAUGCGAGUCGAACGGAAAGGCCCUGCUUUUGUGGGGUGCUCGAGUGGCGAACGGGUGAGUAACACGUGAGUAACCUGCCCUUGACUUUGGGAUAACUUCAGGAAACUGGGGCUAAUACCGGAUAGGAGCUCCUGCUGCAUGGUGGGGGUUGGAAAGUUUCGGCGGUUGGGGAUGGACUCGCGGCUUAUCAGCUUGUUGGUGGGGUAGUGGCUUACCAAGGCUUUGACGGGUAGCCGGCCUGAGAGGGUGACCGGCCACAUUGGGACUGAGAUACGGCCCAGACUCCUACGGGAGGCAGCAGUGGGGAAUAUUGCACAAUGGGCGGAAGCCUGAUGCAGCAACGCCGCGUGCGGGAUGACGGCCUUCGGGUUGUAAACCGCUUUCGCCUGUGACGAAGCGUGAGUGACGGUAAUGGGUAAAGGAGCACCGGCUAACUACGUG